UAACAGAUCAUCGAUAUGCAAGGUUCGUUCCGGCUACUGGAAGUCUUCACCGUAACUGUUCCGUUCGUGUUUCAAGUCCAUUUCUGCAACUGGAGUUGAACAAGGAGAUGCUGUUAGUGUGCAUUAUGAUCCUAUGAUUGCCAAGUCUGUUGUUUGGGGAGAAAAUCAUGUUGUUUGAGGUUUAUGUUCAAGAGGUUUCUGAAUUUGGCUUAGCUUUUUUAAUCGACAGUCUGCUUAAAUUGUGUAAACAUUUUGUCGCUAAUUUUCAACCCUUCAAAAAUUCAAAUUCAUCCAGAAUCAUUGAGGCCAUUUCUCUUACAUAAGGUUUCAGGUGUCCCAACCAACCCCCAACCACAC